UUUCAAACUGAACACGCUGUUAUUUAUCAGCAGGAAACCAGACGCAGUUUGGUCCGUUUACCUGAAAAGAAGGUAAAAAGUUAAAUUGCAGCACUUUUCCUGUAUGCAAAGGAAGUGAUGCAACUCAUGCGAGGCCCGCGGUUGGACGCUCUCGUCAGGUGGGAGCAUGUGAUUGGCUGAAAGAUCAGUGACUCUUUCACAGGUAGAGGGAGGUGGACGCAGGUAUCGAACUGAUGGCCACAUUGUAAAAACAAAGAUUGAAUCCGAUGAGCUGCGUGUUACAGUGACUGCAGCCGUCAGCCCCGUCCCGGACUAAUAUGGAGGCAGCGAACAGGCAGGACAUUGUCAGCGCUCGCCCCCGAAAGGACAGGUCAUAGUGGGUCAGUGGACACACACACGCGUUAACAGGCUGCGUGUGUGUCGCUGGGUGGAGGUUGGUGGGAGGUGGAGGGGCGAGGUUGGCUGGUUUUGGAGUUCUACCCCUGUUGAGUGCACGCACAGUGUUUUUUUUUGGACAGGAUAUAGAAAGUCCAGACCUGGACUCAUGGAGGUGCAGGGACUCAUGUGGUUCACUCACACACACACACACACACACACACACACACACACACACACCUACACACACUUUAAAACCUGGGAUUGGUUCUCCUCCCUGACUCUCACGUGCUUUAACCCCC